rnacentral:lncRNA from 1 species
UUCAGUGCAGGGAUACUGUAAUCUUGACUGAAUUUGCAUACUUUCCAUUUGUUUAUCCACCUCCGUAUUCACGUCACAAUUACGAGUAAGACUGUCAAAGCGGAAGAUUUAUGACCACCUCCACAAAGAGGUAGCAGCUUUUCAGGGCUGAACUUAACAUGCAGACGGAUGUUUAUCCUGCUGAUCGGCCGGGUGGAGGCUGAGCCGGCCAUACAAAUGAGGAGCCGGAGCUCUUUAUGUUUGCACGGCGCUCCGCAGACCUCGUUUUAGGAUUUGCUGCCUCUUUUAACUUUAAAUCAGCGCUGUCUGAACUUGGAUCAGAACUUGAAAAAAGAAAACAGACUUUUCAUUCGAACAGGAAACAGGAAUAAGAACGCAUUUAUUCAUGUUUUCCAUUCAUAGAGAUGUUUUAUAUUCAUAGAUGUCGCUCACGUUUGAUGAUGUUUUUUUACAAACUAUUGUACCGCUGUAAUGUACCGCUGAUGACAAAGUGACAGACAACGACACACAAAAGUCCAUUAGCGACAAAAGUGUGAGAAUCACCAUAGAAACGGAUCGUUUCACCGACUCGUCGCUGCCUGAGGGGAAACCAUGCAGAACAUUGAUCGACGGCGGCGGCGGCGGUGGCAGCGGCGCCUCUGCCUCCAUCCCCCUGUGUUACAGCCGGGGCUGAUGGGACUCAUAGAGAGGUGAGAGAUUGAAUAUUGUGAUGAUGUUGUUACUCUGCAGCGGCGGCACAGUCAGGAAAAUGAAGGAAUGUAAUUGGACCGUUUUCACUCUGUAAACAAAUUAGAGAAGACGCCACAGACGCAGGAGGAAGAUGUCGGCACUUUUAGGGACGUGUCCUCGUCAAGUUUGACAGAAGAAAACCUGAUGGAAGAAACCGUAUAUAAUCAACACGCACAAUCAGACCGGUCUGCUCCUCAUGAUCCGAACCGGUCCCUCCUUCCUGAUCAGGACUAUAUGGGGGUUGGCACCAUUUUGAGGGGUAUCCGAAACCUGAGUCAUCAAUUUCAAUGCCCCAUAUAGGCGACUCAAAAUUUCCCAUAAAGCAUUGCAAAAUUUAGUGACCAUCCGAUGGUCACUCAACGGUGGUGGGCAUCCCAUCAUGCAUUGCGUCUUGCCAUGUAGUGUCGGAAACCUCCGGUGAUUGAGUUUGUACCGCGCAUGUACGAAAUGUACGUCACUUCCUUUACCGGCCAUCUUUGCGACAGCUCAGUAAUUCUUCGGCAAUCGCGGUUUGCGACAGUUUCGACACUUGUUCGACAGCUUCAGCACCAGCGAGCUCGCUUCAGUUUAUAACAGCCACGGCCACGGAGGUCUUCCCCCGACUGAAGCAGAGCGCCGGAAAGUCAAGAGAACGGCGCCCAGUUUCACGAUCAAAGAUUCCGACUCCAGCUAAAUUGUAACAUUCCAACGUAGUUACAAAAAGUUUGACUGAAUGUGAAUAUUUCAGUAAAAACGUUGAAAUUCAUCGGAAGUGGAAGUGGCGUACGUUUCGCACAUGCGCAGUACAAAUCGGGAUUCCGGAACGGAUCGGGUAGCGACACUUCUUCAUGAAAAAGAGUUCAGAUGUUUGUAUCAGAAUUAACUCAUCAGCGACGUUACAACAGAGACGAUUCGUACUUGAAGACCUGAAGACCUGAAGGUCAAACUCUGACGGGUUACGAACUUUAAGGUCGGGGCAGAUACAGCUCUCUCUGGAUGCUGAUAAAUCCCAUUUUCGUGCGGGUUCAUUGGGCCGAUGUCUGACUAAAGUCUCGACUGCGUUCUGAAGUUUUCGUCUUUACAGCGACGACACGGCGGCCUCUGCCACGAUGACUCAGCGCUGAGUAAAUUUCACCCGACUGUAGAGAGAAAAGUUUGGUCUGUCAUCUGAAACGAUCCGAAGUCUAACAUGGUUUCUUUCUUUCUGAGCUGGAUAACGAGGAAUCUGAGUGAAGAAGACGACCAGCUGGAAAAAAACUGAAUUAAUUGUCAUUUGAGAAGUUUUAUUAAAGAUAAAAACCCAGACGAGCUGUGUGUGUGUGUGUGUGUGUGUGUGAGAGAGAGAAAUCAGCUUUGUCCUGAUCCGGAUUCUUUAAGUUUCGCUUCAGAGGGAUCAGCGAAAAAUUGAAUUACAUCCUGAUCGUCUCCAUGAACCGAUAGUUUGACUAAUUAGUCUCAUUUCUAUUUCUGUCGCCGUCUCGUCGUCUUUCUCCUUUCAGUUCCUCCUCAAGGACAAGUAGGAGAAUCUCUGUUCUUCUAAAUCCAGAUUAGUGUUUUUCUCUUUCACUCACAGAUCUCUGACAGGCGGAGAAGUUCUGUUUAUAACCAACGUCUGAUGUUCCUGAAGGCCAGGGCACGCCGGAAACAAACUCCUCCUCAUGUUGGCGUUUGAAUCUAAUCAGAGGUACCAGAGCAGAGAUCUGAGAGUCCGUCAUGUUUCUGUCGUACAGAGAAAAAAAAAGGAGGUGACCCGGUUGGCGAUGGAGGAGUCAGGGGUUAACUGAUGACACCCUUGACCGUGUGAUCGAUGUGAACCGAGUCGUGUCAAACAGCAGCAGGCGGUCAGACCCAUGUGGUCUAAAGAGACCUCUGCUGACCCCCCAGGACAAUAAAACUCGCACCAUUAGGUCAGGUCCAGGUCCUCUCGCAGAGUCUCGACCCGUGCCGCCCCUCGGUUCAGUCCCCUUCAAAGCGCCACAAUCAGUUCAGCUAAUGAUAACGACGUGGUGGCGGUGGCGGCGGCGGCGGUGGGGGGGCGUUCUGAGUGGGUUUGAAGCGACAGAAUAAAGGAAAUGUCAACAUCAAGCGUGACGAGGUUAAGGUUUUAACCGCUCCACAUGACUCCUUCAAAAGUCGGAGAAGUUCAAAGUCCUGGUCUCUACGAAUCCAGACACGGGUUUUUUCUUCUGUACACAAGGGUCCUCUUAAUAAUUGAUUAUAGAUUUCCAACAGUUUGAUGUUUCAUAUAUCAAACAUUUGGUGGUAAUGACGCUCGUCAGGAAUGAAGAAGAUCAAAAUGAGACGCUGAAAGGAGGAGAUCUCAGACGAGAGCGGGCAGGAUGACGAUCUAUCGGAGAGGACGUUCAUGAAGAAUAUUUGUCAUGAUUUCUGUUUUUAUCUCAAAGUGAUAAUUUAUAUUUCCACUAAAAUAUCAGAGAUAGAUGUGACUUUUUGUAGAGUUUUUAAAUUCUGUCGUUUUAAAACGUUUGUCCAUUUUCUGAUGAGCUCAGUCCGUCUUUGAUCGUUCCUCACUCCUCAAAUUAAACGCUGCGAUGUGUGGACAAAGGGACGUCUCUUAAAUGUCAGUCAAAUAAAGGUGAGGCUGACUUCGCAGAGACUCUCGACCCUGAAUAUUGAUCGGACUGUCCCGAAGUGUGAAGGGAUGAACGGAGCAGAGAGACAACUGUUCAUGAGGAGGAGAGUAGAUUAAAGAAAGGGGGAUCCUAGGAGAUCUCCAGGGUUUAGACCAGACCCAACACAUCCAUGCCAAAUAAACAACUUCCCUUCUGAUUAUUCUGGGGGUGUUGAUGGUUAUCAAAGAAGUCAAGCAAAGCAUCAUGGGAGAGUGGGUCGUUUACCGACUGACAAACUAUAUGAGCCGUAUAGUUUUCAGUUUUUCCUUAUUUAGACUCUUUGACAGCCUCCAGGCAGCUCUCCGACCUACCCGAGCAGCUCCAGGAGGAGGUCUGGUCAUUAUCUGGCGGUUGAGAGUUCGGGGGGGUAGCGCUCGGUGUCAGACUCCCAGCUGUUCUGGUAUUCAGCCAACAGCUCCCUCCCACACAGCUCCUCUGGCUGUUUGUGUUGAAUCCGGAUCAGUGCCAGAGCUGCUGUACGCAUGUGCACGGGUUUGUUGAUGCUCCUGUGUGAGUGUGAGUGUGAGUGUGUGUGUGGGUGUGCGCUCUGUUGUCAGGAAGUGCGAGGAGCAGAUCGCAGCUCUUUUCCUCGCUGUGAUGUUCUGGUUAAACCUCGUUGGUCACGUUUAGAGAUUCAGUGAUGCUGAA